rnacentral:rRNA from 1 species
AUUGAACGCUGGCGGCAGGCUUAACACAUGCAAGUCGAACGGUAGCAGGGAGAAAGCUUGCUUUCUUUGCUGACGAGUGGCGGACGGGUGAGUAAUGCUUGGGAAUCUGGCUUAUGGAGGGGGAUAACGACGGGAAACUGUCGCUAAUACCGCGUAGAGUCGAGAGACGAAAGACCGGGACCGCAAGGCCGGUUGCCAUAAGAUGAGCCCAAGUGGGAUUAGGUAGUUGGUGGGGUAAAGGCCUACCAAGCCUGCGAUCUCUAGCUGGUCUGAGAGGAUGGCCAGCCACACUGGAACUGAGACACGGUCCAGACUCCUACGGGAGGCAGCAGUGGGGAAUAUUGCGCAAUGGGGGCAACCCUGACGCAGCCAUGCCGCGUGAAUGAAGAAGGCC